rnacentral:rRNA from 1 species
AUUGAACGCUGGCGGAAUGCUUUACACAUGCAAGUCGAGCGGCAGCGCGGGGGCAACCCUGGCGGCGAGCGGCGAACGGGUGAGUAACACAUCGGAACGUACCCUGUCGUGGGGGAUAACGAAUCGAAAGAUUCGCUAAUACCGCAUACGACCUGAGGGUGAAAGCGGGGGAUCGCAAGACCUCGCGCGAGAGGAGCGGCCGAUGUCGGAUUAGCUAGUUGGUGAGGUAAAGGCUCACCAAGGCGACGAUCCGUAGCGGGGCUGAGAGGACGGACCGCCACACUGGGACUGAGACACGGCCCAGACUCCUACGGGAGGCAGCAGUGGGGAAUUUUGGACAAUGGGCGCAAGCCUGAUCCAGCCAUGCCGCGUGAGUGAAGAAGGCCUUCGGGUUGUAAAGCUCUUUUGUCAGGGAAGAAAUGGUUUGGGCUAAUACCCUGAAUCGAUGACGGUACCUGAAGAAUAAGCACCGGCUAACUACGUGCCAGCCGCCGCGGUAAAAC